CAAAGUGCUCAUAGUGCAGGUAGCUUUUGUAUUGGAUCUACUGUAAUGUGGGCACUUACAGU
rnacentral:pre_miRNA from 1 species